rnacentral:lncRNA from 1 species
AAAAAAGUAACUGACUAGUCUCUACUUAGGAAGUACAUGAACUUGGAGAUUCAAACUAGGUCCAUAUAUCCACUAAAAUGUAUCUUCACGGCCAUUCUCAAUCAUACUUGGAAUAUUUGCCUCCUACUUCAUUAAAGAUUUUUCAUUAAAGAUUUUCCCUGUGUCACACAAAUGUUUCAUAAAUUUUGUCAUUAUUGCUUGCUGGUAAAAAUAAUCAUGUAAUUCUAAAUAACCGGUAUCAAGCAUCUACAUGGACGGUAAAACAUUUGAGAAGUAGCUACAAAUUCACUGUAAUAGUAUCAAACAUUAAACAUACUCUCAAAUUUUUGAUGUAUAACACACUAUCUCAUAUCAAUAUGAAGACAUAGUAGGUCAAACUGCUAAUAGACUUAGGAAAAAAAAACAUAAUUGAGAUACAUAUCCUCACUUUAGUUCGCAUGAAUGCAAUGCAAUUGCUUUGUUACUCGUAUAAGACCCUCUUUGUAGAAUUAUAUUUUACCAAAUACUAACAAGCACUCGUGGAAGGGGAUAUUUUCUUCUAAAAUCUGGAUUUGAAGGUGUGUGGAAUAGGUUUUGAGAAACCAAACAGGCUAUUUAGCACCAACACUUCAUAUGGACACAUAUUGGUGUCGGUCAUUGACACAACAUUAACAUAUAUAGUUACACUUGAGAAUAAGGUUUUGGUAUUGAUACUGAUUGACUUGAGAGAUAAGCUCUCAGCUUGAUAUUAUUUAUAAUGAAAACUGUACAAAGAGAAUCCCUUAAUUAAGGUAAUAAAUAGGGAGUAAAUCAAUCCUAAUAAAAGCAGAAUUUUAUCCAAGGAAUAUCUUAAUAGUAAAGAUUCACGUCGAUGCACAUCUCCACAAUUACAUUCAAUCACUCAAAUUUCCUCAAAUUAUUACCGAAGUUUAUGUGUCUGUGUUCAUAACGUGUCCAGUGUUCGAGUAUGUGUCAGUUUUUCAUAGUAGUCACUUGGAAAAUUGAGAGCUCUAAAAAUACAUGAAUUCAUUCCAGUAAUUCUAUGCAACAAUUAAGCAUGGAACACAGACACAUACACAUGGAAGUAAUACAUUGUAGACAGAAACCUGAACUUAGCUCAUGCAGAAGAGAGAGAGAGAGAGAGAGAGAGAGAGAGAGAGAGAGACUUACUAUGCUGCAACACUAUUAAAUUUUGCACGUCUUCCGAUUGUGGCCAAGUCCCUUGCAUUUACCGCACUGCAGCUGACGUUUAAUUAUAUCUAUCGAUUCAACCUGCUUUGAUUUUGGCCGACCAGGAGGGCGCUUAGUUGGUGG